GCCAGGCGUGGUGGCGGGCGCCUGUAAUCCCAGCUACUCGGGAGGCUGAGGCAGGAGGAUCCCUUGAACCCGGGAGGCGGAGGUUACAGUGAGCUGAGAUCUUGCCAUCGCACUCCAGCCUGGGCGACAGAGCGAGACUCCAACUCAAAAAAAAAAUAAAACUAAAAAAAGAGUUAUUUUUUUUUUUUUUGAGACAAAGUCUGGCUCUGUCGCCCAGGCUGGAGUGCAAUGGUGUGAUCUCAGCUCACUGCAACCUCCACCUCCUGGGUUCAAGCAAUUCUCCCGCCACA
ensembl:misc_RNA Metazoa_SRP Metazoan signal recognition particle RNA